CCUACGGGUGGCUGCAGUGAGGAAUAUUGGUCAAUGGACGCAAGUCUGAACCAGCCAUGCCGCGUGCAGGAAGACGGCUCUAUGAGUUGUAAACUGCUUUUGUACGAGGGUAAACGCAGAUACGCGUAUCUGUCUGAGUGUAUCGUACGAAUAAGGAUCGGCUAACUCCGUGCCAGCAGCCGCGGUAAUACGGAGGAUCCAAGCGUUAUCCGGAUUUAUUGGGUUUAAAGGGUGCGUAGGCGGUCGGUUAAGUUAGCGGGGAAAGCCCGAGGCUCAACUUCGGAAUUGCCUUUGAAACUGGUCGGCUAGAGUGUAGUUGCGGUAGGCGGAAUGUAUGGUGUAGCGGUGAAAUGCUUAGAGAUCAUGCAGAACACCGAUUGCGAAGGCAGCUUACCGGUCUAUAUCUGACGUUGAGGCACGAAAGCGUGGGGAGCAAACAGGAUUAGAUACCCGAGUAGUC
rnacentral:rRNA from 1 species